ensembl:lncRNA
GGGGGGUAGGUAUUAGGAACAGCUGCUCCAGUCUCCGCUUGCUGCAGCCAGCGCACAACAGGCAGCAACAGCGCACAGAGCAUCAGGAUCCAGCCAGCAUGGAUAAAACUUUCGCCCAGUACAGCUCCGGGUGGCUCUUCCUGACAGCUGUGGCGCUCUGCUUAUGGGGUGCCAAAGGCAAGGUAUAUUAUUCCUGUGGUGCAGAUUUGGAAUCCAUGGAAAGAGGUCUUAUUUUAUCACCAGGCUUUCCAAAUAACUACUAUCCAGGGACACACUGUGUUUGGCAGUUUUUCAUUCCUGUUAGAACCCAUCUUAUCCUGGAAAUUCUUGACUUUGAUGUAUUUGAGAGCUCAAAUGAAACUCCAGACCCUUGGGAUGGCUUUUCUUCUUCUAAAAGAAAAAAUAAGGAGAUGUUUCCUACUGAAGAAAACUCUGACCUUCCCAUCACUCUUGCUACUACAAAAUCCUCUGUUCUGGCUGGGAUGUCAAAGGCGAUCCAGAAACAUAGCAGCCCAGGAGCUCGGUCAAAGGGUCUUGCUGGCCGCUAUGAUGGAUUCCCAGUAACUACCUCCAAAAAAGAAGAAUACAAACAAACAUCUGAAGAAAAACAGUUAAGACAGAUGGAACAACCCAAAGAAAUAUCUAAGGCUCAGCCAGAUGGACUGCCAUUCACUGUGGCUGGCAAUAUCACUACGCAGCAGCAAAAUAUCAGUGGCCUAGAGAUGAACAGAGAUUUGAAAGGGAAAGUCCUGCUUGCUCAUCUCACUGCUAGAAGGAGAGAUGAGGUCAUGGGAGAGAGUCAGACUCUCUCCACAACAGCCUUACCAAGAGGAAACUCCACCACCCAGCAGUCUUCAGCGGAUGUGUGUCCCCAUGAUGUCUUGUAUGUUUCUGACCUCAUCACAUUUUCCUCUCGCUUCUGUGGGACAAACUUGCCUUUAAACAAGACCAUGAUUUUCAGUUCAUCUCUGGAGAUGGUGGAGGUUAUUAUGGAGCUGAUCACGACCACGGAUCGUGGGAGGGGCUUUGCAAUGCUCUUUGAAUACAAGAACAUCACGGAACCUAAUGUCAUGGAUGUGGUGAGGCAGGAUGGAAAGGAAGACACAAUGAUGCUGGCAAUAAUAACUGGAAUUGUCCUCUUUGCACUUGUUCUUCUGUCUACCCUCUGCAUAACUUGCAGGCAGAAAAUGUGCCCCAAAAGGAACCCUUCCAGUGCACACAGUGACCAGGAGAAUGGGAUCCAGAACUCCGCCAUAGAUAUCAAUGAGCUCCAACUUGUGGUGCCAACUCGAGAGAAUGAAAACAACAAUCACACUGUCAGCGGGGACCAAGCUGUCACUUCCUCUGGAGGCUGCACAGAACACUCUUCUCGGCAUACUGACCCAGAUAUGCCCUCUUCUAUGUCUGCCGUGACCACUGAAACGGGGAGCGAUGAAGUAUUUAUUAUUUCAGCUGGCCCUGGUGCCAGCGGGUUGAGUUUUACCACAUACAAAAUACAGGACAAAAACCUAAAGAGAAGUGUCACAAGUCCAGCUUCUGUGUCAGACUGGCUGACUUCUGAUCAUAUGGCUCCAGGAGCAGGUACUGUGGAUAAAGGGAACACACAGGCAGAGAACCAUCAUCCAAGGCAACGGACAUGGAGCGCCCGCACAUUUCAUGACUUACUGACUCCGUUACCUCAGUUACAGAAAAAAUGGUAUAGCUGGACCACUAACAGCCCCUUCACUAAACUGGUAGACAGCAGUGGUCUUUCUACAUCCACAAGAAACCAGAGUGUAACAACCAGAAAAGUAAUUUCAGCCACUGAGAUAGAGGGAAUCUCAGAUAUUGUUUAUUCUGACUCGUCCACCCGCACUGCAUCAUACCCACAAACCCAAUCUGCACAAAGGCAGGGGAAACUGAGCUCCUCCAGCUUGAAGAAAUCCAGGUUUGGGAACCCUUACUUUGGGUUUUUAACCAGCUCCCCUGAUUGCAAAGAGGUGAGGCCCUUGGAUCCCUCGAGGCACGUGGGGGUGACACCUCCACUUGAUAACCAAAGCCAUGGCCUCCCUGGUCUCAAAAGCAACUUAAUCAACUGUUCAAAAACCAAGGAGCUCUCAACAGAAAUGGACAAAUCCAAACCAGCUUUUGUUAUUUCUGAAGAAGGGGAUGACCAGCAGCCUCUGGUCCUCGCAGAGCACUUUAGUCAGUGUAGAGAUACUCUGUCUGAGCAAAAUGUUGUAUAUGCUUCAGUGAAGGCUAUACCUGAUAAACCACCAGUGGUCUUGAGUGUUCAGGGAGACAGCUCAGGCAGGCCUCCCAAUUUCACGUUGGAUCUCCCCAUUUGGGAAAAGUUUCCCAAUUUAUAUGGCAAUCACAUGAAGACCGAUAGCUCUUCCAACGGCCAGUGCAGCUUGCCUAGCGCAGAUACCAAUACAAUUGAGUCACCAUGGAAUUUUGAUUCCUUAACUGCUCAUACACUCUGUCAAACAUCGGUUCAAUGAGGCUUCCAGAGCGACUAAAGGAAUCUGUCUGUGAGAACAGAUGCAAUAAGGACCAUAGCUGUUCACUUUUCUGCUGGAGAAGAAGCUGCUGUGCCUAUGGAGGGUAGCAAGUGUGGACAGAGACAACUUUUUUUUCUUCCCAUCAGCAGAUUGGAGUUAUGGGAAAAGGUAACCUAGCAAAGCACAAAACAAAGUCAUCUUUUCUCAUGAUCAGCUGGGCCUAAUAAUGUGCACGACAUGAUCUUGUUCUCAGUUCCAUUCUCCCACAUGAAAUUUUAAUUGUGGCUUAUGGAAGAGAGUGAUAAAGUGAUUCCUCUAAAAAGGUGUCUAAUACUGAGUAACUGUGUUCUGGUACACUACAGGAAAACAAAUGAUCUGAGUGAUUACUUAUGGCACAUGGUGGGGAAUGCAGACCAGUCCUCAGGGUCACUGUGGUGUCACCUUACUCUUUGCUACAUGUUAUGAACCAAAUUCUGCUCUCAGGCACACUUGCAUAAUCCCUACUGAUGUCAACUGAAGUUGCCUCCAGCUAUCCAAGAGUAGAAUUUGGACUUGCAUGUUUAUGUAUACUAUAUAUAAAGUAAAAUGUUUUAAAUAGUUGGUAACCUCUCCAAUUUAGUACAGUCUUGUUCAUAUCAGUCUUUGCUGUUUCCUUAGCAUUAAAGGGCACAUGUAGACCUUAGUCUAACAGUUUAGAGUGGUAAAAGCACAAUACAAAAGCGCACUCAGUCUGAUGCUAUCAAAAUAAUUAAUACUAAUUUCCAGUAUUAACCCUGUUAAAAUUUCUACACUGUUGGCUAGCACUGUGUAGGUCUGAAGAAUUAAGGGAGCACCCCUCAUGGCAAUAGGAGGAUGUAUACAAAAAAUACUAUUCACUAGCAAUAAAGUCUUUCAGCAUCCUGAUGCUUGCA